CCCAGGAGACCCCGCGCGUGUGACAUUCCCGGCGCAGACUCGAGUGUACGGUUGCGAUCGAACGGGUGGGCCUGGGCCGGCCGGGCCUGGGGCCUUCUGUGUCUGCGCGAUCGCCUCCUGGCAAAGAAGGCCACAUAGUGAGGAGAGGACGGUCCUCAGAAAGAGAGAGACUCGCGCCUGACGGUCAACUGGGCGAGCGGACACCGGGCACAGAAAGGGGCCGUGGGGAAGUCCCAGUAGAUGAAUUAUUGGAGAUUAAACCCAGGACUGAGCUAUAUCUUUGGCCCUUUUAAAAUUUUGAACAGGGUCUCACUAAGUUGCCCAGGCUGGGCUCGAACUUGGAAUCCUUCUUCGCCAUCCUCCCAGAGUGCUAGGAUUACAAGCAUGUGCCACCAUGCCCGAUUUAUCCA
rnacentral:lncRNA from 1 species